UACGGAGGGGGCUAGCGUUGUUCGGAAUCACUGGGCGUAAAGCGCGCGUAGGCGGCCGAUCAAGUCAGGUGUGAAAGCCCGGGGCUCAACCUCGGAGGUGCGCCUGAAACUGGUUGGCUGGAGUCCGGAAGAGGGUGGUGGAAUUCCCAGUGUAGAGGUGAAAUUCGUAGAUAUUGGGAAGAACACCGGUGGCGAAGGCGACCACCUGGUCCGGCACUGACGCUGAGGCGCGAAAGCGUGGGGAGCAAACAGG
rnacentral:rRNA from 1 species